CAACUUUCCCAUAAAGUAUUAAAAAAUAUGUUAUGAAAAAUAGUGGUAAUCAACUGUUGAAAUAAACACCCAUAUAGUGUGCUAUUGCUGCUGGCUGCAGGAAUGUACUCUAUGUGGCAGGUUUUGGAAGCAGUACCAGUGAAACUUGUUGGUUGGAGUGCGGAUGACGUCAUAGCAUUAUCUCCUCUUGAAUUCAAAUAUGUAAUGACACGCGAGUUCAAUAUACUCUAUUUUUAUAAUGAUCACGUUUCACCUUGUGAGUACUUCAAGCCUAAUGUAGCUAAAGGACCGUUUUUUCCUUGGAAAUGUUUACAAGUUUGAAACUACCAAAUCAAAUCCUUCCACUUUGAAAAACCUAAUAGAAAUAACACUUGAGACCGUGACUACAAUGAACGAGAAAAUAUAAAGAACAAUUUGGGCGCUUAAUAAGUCAAAUUUAACAACAAAGAUGCAUGAUUUAAAUCAGAUUUCUAAUGCGCCAAUGUCCGAGGACAAUCUUGAUAUUGAAAGCAAUACAAAAAUGGUGACUUACCCCAGCUCAGGCUAUUUUGAUGGCCGAGCUAAUCAGUUUAUUCGGCUUCCUUAUGGUCUAAAGAUUUUGUCUGCAUUGUUUAUUAAUCUAAUAAACAAAGUAAUUCAAGAUAAAAAGGAUAUUAGCAAAUAUUUAACGCAGAUGUAGAAGAUAGUUUUUUAAAAUUGAUAUGGUAAUUUAAUGAAUAAACUAGACAGCUGCGCUUAGCGCAGCUGUAACAGUGUGCGUAGCUUCUUUAGUUUGGAAAGCGCAACGCAAUUUUGGAAAAGAAGCAUAACAAAAUUUCAAAAAAAGGCGCAACUUCGAAAAAAGCACAAUGCGACUUCAAAAUAAUAAGCACAAUGCGAUUUAGAAAAAAAUCACAACGCAAAUUUCAAAAAUAGAACAAGAUUCCGAAAAAAAUCAAAAUACGAUUUUGAAAAAAAGCAUAACGAAACUUUUUAAAAAAAACGAUUGGAAUUUUGAAAGCAGAACGCAAUCAUGAUUUAAAAAAAAAUCACAAUACGAUUAUGAAAAAAAAGCACAUCACGAUUUUCAAAAAAAGCACAAUGCAACUUUGAAAAAAAGCGAUUGGGAUUUUGAAAGCAGAACGCAAUCAUGAUUUUAAAAAAAACGCACAACGUGAUUUCGAGAAAAAAAGCACAAUACGAUUUUCAAAAAAAGCACAAAGCAACUUUGGAAAAAAGCAAUUGGGAUUUUGAAAGCAGAACGCAAUGAUGAUUUAAAAAAAAGCACAACGCGAUUUUGAAAAAAGGCACAACGCGAAUUUUAGUUUAAAAAAAGCACAACGCGAUUUCGAAAAAAAAGCACAACACAAUUUUGAAAAAAAAAGCACAACGCAAUUUUGAAAAAAAGCACAGUGCGAACUUUGAAAAAAGAUCAACGCGAAUUCUCAAAAAAGCACAAGGCCAACUUUGAAAAAAAGCACAAUGCGACUUCGGAAAAAAAAGCACAACGCAAAUGUUGAAAAAAAAAACAGAACGCGAACUUCAAAAAAAAAGCACAACGCGAUUUUGAACGCGAUUUUGAAAAAAAGCACCACGCAAUUUUGGAAAAAAAGCACAACACAAUUUCGGAAAAAAGCACAACGCGAUUUUGAAAAAAAAACGAACUUUGAAAAAAAGCACAACGCGAUUUCAAAAAAAAGCACAAUGCGAUUUUGAAAAAAAACAUGAUUUUGAAAAAAAAGCACAACACGAUUUUGGGAAAAAAGCACAACGUGAACUUCAAAAAAAAAAGCACAAUGAGGACUUCGAAAAAAAAGCACAACACGAUUUUGAAAAAAAAGCACAACGUGAUUUUUAAAAAAAAGCGCAACGCGAACUUUGAAAAAAAAGCACAACGCGAACUUCAAAAAUCAAGGCACAACAAAAUUUUGAAAAAAAGCACCACACCAUUUUGGAAAAAAAGCAUAACGCGAUUUUGAAAAAAAAACACGAGAUUUAAAAAAAAAGCACAACGCGAUUUUGAAAAAAAAAGCACAACGUGAACUUCAAAAAGAAUCACAACGCAAUUUCGAAAAAAAGCACCACACAAUUUCGAAAAAAAAGCACAACGCGAUUUUGAAAAAAAAGCACAACGCGAACUUCAAAAUAAAGAAACAAUGCGAAUUUUAGAAAAAAAGCACAACGCGUUUUCGAAAAAAAGCACCACGCAAUUUCAGAAAAAGAAGCACAACGCGAACUUUGAAAAAAAACACAAUGCAAAUUUUAGGAAUUGAAAAGCACUAGAUUUCGAAAAAAAAGCACAACACAAUUUUUAAAAAAAAGCACAACGCGAUUUUAAAAAAGAA